rnacentral:rRNA from 1 species
AAUAUUGGUCAAUGGAGGCAACUCUGAACCAGCCAAGUCGCGUGAAGGAUGACUGCUCUACGGGUUGUAAACUUCUUUUUUAAGGGAAUAAAGUGAGCGACGUGUGGCUUUUUGCAUGUACCUUACGAAUAGGGAUCGGCUAACUCCGGGACAGCAGCCGCGGUAAUACGGAGGAUCCGAGCGUUAUCCGGAUUUAUUGGGUUUAAAGGGUGCGCAGGCGGAAUAUUAAGUCGGCGGUGAAAGUUUGCAGCUUAACUGUAAAAUUGCCGUUGAAACUGGUUUUCUUGAGUGUAUAUGAAGUAGGCGGAAUUUGUAGUGUAGCGGUGAAAUGCAUAGAUAUGUCACAGAACUCCAAUUGCGAAGGCAGCUGACCAGGUCCAUAUUGACGCUGAUGCACGAAAGCGUGGGUAUCGAACA